UCCCAUAUAUGUAUGUCUAUGUGUGCGUGUACAUAUGCAAAUACAUCUACUCACGCACACGUGUUUUUCUAACUCCACGUUCUACAUAAGGGCUUGAGUUUGCAAAUUGUUGAAGUUAUUCCCAGGAGCGUGGCCCCCGAGGCCCUGGGGCGGUGGACAUGUCCUUCUGAGCCCCUGAGCCUGUGGACUCAGGGACUGUGACGGGCGAUUCCCCAACUCUCCCAGGAAGGCUGCACUGGGACUCAUUUCCUGACCCCGAGGACCGGGCCAGACUACAGCCCUUCCGAACUGCUUUGUCUACUGAGUUCCCAGGAACAGCACCUGACCAGCCGCCCGCUGUGGGUCAACCCGACAACCAGAAAGGCAAACCCACUAGACUCGGCCCGGCCACGUUGGGUUGCAUGAAAAUUCCUGUGAUGGUUGUCAGCCCUGGGUGGGAAGCAGCCCACUCCGUUGGCUCGCGAUUCAUUCUGUGACUGAUGGUCCACGCUUUGCGGAAGAUACUUGCAAUUACCCACAUAAUUGGAUUGGUCAGCGGAAAUUACAAAGGAACCUCACAGCCCGCUGUCCACGGAAAUCCUUUCUGUCUCGAGUGAAUGGCGAGUAAAACCUCCGCUGUGUGACCAGGUCACCCUUUCAGAGCAACCCGGGCAGGUUCAGAACGGGGACCCCUUGCUCAAUAAUUUCCUUUGUGCUUGGGGAGAUCGGGCAAGGCCCACAGCUGUCUUCAG